rnacentral:tRNA from 1 species
CAGGGAGACAACACAAUGUUUAAUAUAAUUUUGUCACCUUAGGUCGAUCGGUAUCUCACGUUCUUAAUUUAUUAAGUAUUUCACUUCCUAAGUUUUUCUAGGUCACACCCAUUAUUUUUCCUGGGCCAUUAGCUCAGGUGGUUAGAGCGCACCCCUGAUAAGGGUGAGGUCCCUGGUUCAAGUCCAGGAUGGCCCAUAUCUCUAUGUUGGGGGUAUAGCUCAGUUGGUAGAGCGCCUGCUUUGCAAGCAGGAUGUCAGCGGUUCGAGUCCGCUUACCUCCACUGAUUACCACCUCUUCCAUAUUUUUUAGAAAGGAAAUGUUUUGAGUUGUGAUCAAAUUCUGAACGAAUCUAGCUUCCUAGUGAAAUCAUUAAGAUGCUGGACUCAUUGAAUUAAUUUCAUUGUUUUCAGAGAACCUUGACAACUGCAUAGUUUAUUUUUAAAGACAAUAAGCAUCUUUUAUGAUGCAGAUUUAUUAUUUGUGCUAAUGCAUUAAUAACAAUUCUAUUGAGCUGAUGCUUCAAUUAUUUGAAGUUAUU